rnacentral:lncRNA from 1 species
GGGGGAGGCGGCGGCAGUUAGGACGGCGGCGGCUAAAGUUUUCCCUCCUUUUUUGUUGUUGAAAAUGUUUAGUUUUGGGGCCAUAUUGGGCUACUAGGGUUUUUUGGUUAUUUAGGUUUAGGUUUGUUGUAGUUGGGCCUGGUAAUUGGGGUAUUGUAACUGGACUGUUAAUGUUUGUUUUUUUUAUUUGGUUUUUAUUUUGUUUUUUUUAUUUAAUCUGCAUGGGCCCGGACAUAAAUUUGGGUUUUACAGCUGCCCCUCUUUGCUAAUUGUCGUGCAACAGGAAUGAAGCAAAGACUUUUAAGAAAGAUAAAUUUUGCCCGGUCUUGCC